AUUGAACGCUGGCGGCAGGCCUAACACAUGCAAGUCGAACGGUAACAGGAAGACGCUUGCUUCUUUGCUGACGAGUGGCGGACGUGUGAGUAAUGUCUGGGAAACUGCCUGGUGGAGGGGGAUAACUACUGGAAACGGUAGCUAAUACCGCAUAACGUCGCAAGACCAAAGAGGGGGACCUUCGGGCCUCUUGCCAUCGGAUGUGCCCAGAUGGGAUUAGCUAGUAGGUGGGGUAACGGCUCACCUAGGCGACGAUCCCUAGCUGGUCUGAGAGGAUGACCAGCCACACUGGAACUGAGACACGGUCCAGACUCCUACGGGAGGCAGCAGUGGGGAAUAUUGCACAAUGGGCGCAAGCCUGAUGCAGCCAUGCCGCGUGUAUGAAGAAGGCCUUCGGGUUGUAAAGUACUUUCAGCGGGGAGGAAGGGAGUAAAGUUAAUACCUUGGCUCAUUGACGUUACCCGCAGAAGAAGCACCGGCUAACUCCGUG
rnacentral:rRNA from 1 species